AUGGCCACCUGCCUCUCAGACAUGAUCAGUGACCAUUCCCUUGAUUUUCUGGGCUUACAAGAAACUAUGAAGAAAGACUUCUCCUCUAAAUGCUUGAGGAGAAUCGAUCCCUUUGACAUUUUUCAAUGGAACUGGAUUCCUUCUGUUGGGAAAUCUGGUGGCAUCCUGUGUGGUGUUAGGAGUGAUAAGCUAGAGAUUAUUUCCUGUGCCAAGGGAAAACAUAUUCUACAAUUGGUGCUGCAGGACAGAAAAAAACUGAAGUGGGGCCUGCUUGUAGUCUAUGGACCAGCCCAUGAGGAGUUUAAGGGGGGAUUUUUGGUCGAGCUCGCUGCCUGCUGCAAUGGGAUGCAAGUGCCUUACAUUGUUGGGGGUGAUUUUAACAUCCUUAGACAUUCUGGUGAAAAGAACAAGAUGCUUAACAGUCACAAAUCUUCUAAUCUGUUUAAUUCUAUUAUCAAUACCUCAACUUUACGUGAGAUCCAUAUUAAUGGAGGGAAAUACCCUUGGACCAAUCAACAGGCCCACCCCACUUUGGAAAAAUGGGACCGUAUCCUCAUGUCUGAAGAUUGGGAAGACAUGUUUCCACUUGUUUCUGUUCAGAAACUAGUUCGUGAAAUAUCUGAUCACAAUCCUUUGUUCCUCUCCACUGGGGAGGAGGGUAGAGAUGCCCUCAAACCAAGAGAAUUUCAUUUUGAUCUUUCCUGGAUUAAAGUCGAUAGAUUCCUGCCGCUAGUCAAAUAGAUCUGGUCUAGG
rnacentral:rRNA from 1 species